UUUAUUGGUUCUGAGAUUUCAGGUGUUCGGACAAACUGCGAGUGUAUCAUAGCUCCUGUUUCUUUGUGGAGGCUCUCAGAGCUAUGAGUUUUCCUCUUAGCAUUGCUUUUUUGUGUUCCCAAUUUAUGCAUUCAUUUUCAUUAAAUUCUAGAAAGUCUUUAAUUUUUUUCUUUAUUUCUUCCUUGAACAAGUUCUCAUCAAGUAAAUCAUUCUUAUGCUACCAUGUAUAUGUGGGACUUUGGUUGUUCUUGUUGUUAUUGAAGACCAUUCUUAGUGAUUUCAUAGUUUGUAUGGAAUUAAUUCAAUCUUCUUGCAUCUUUUGAGGCCUUUUUUGUGAUGGAUCAUUUUAUCAGUUUUGUAGAAGGUACCAUGUAGGACUGAGAAGAAAGUGUCAGGAGCCAUAUCAGGACAAGCUCAUAACUAACAGGUGAUCAUCCUCAGAUGGACAGCAUUGGAUUAUUUUAUAAUCCACAACUGGUUUGCCUUUAUUAAGCAAGGCUGUAAGAGAUUCAUUUUUGGAAAGUUUCCUGCUAUUGAAAUGCUAUUCGUGUUAUUAUUAUUAUUAGACAUAUAUAACAAUCAUUGAGUAAUUGCACACCCCUUUGGGACAGAUCUCUGCAGGCCUACGAAGUUGCACUGUCCCGUAGUGAUGCUAUUCAUACAAAUAGAUGAAUUCUUUAGUCUUAAUAAUGAUCCUACACUAAUUCCUAAAAUUAUAUGAAUGGUUAUUAAGUUCUUUUAUAGUGGAACUAAACAAGUCUCUUUCUAAUAGUCAGAAUUCCAGUGACAACUCCAGUCUCCCAGGUGUCACCAGUUAAUUAUUCUGAGACAGUAAACAGACUUUCUCCUACUCAGAACACAUUCCAAGAAGUUGCAAAACAGUCAUCAAGUGUCAUAAACGAUUUGUUACAGGUGCAAGGACAGGGGAUAAGAUAUUGACUGUGUUUAUCUGUAAAUAACUUCACUAACAACUAUGGUUUUCGACCUUCAGUAAACCUGUAGAGCUGACACUGGUGAUGAAUGUUUAGCCAGAUAAUUACUCCUGAUGGAUAUCCAUGUAAACAUUCUCGGUUGUAAACUUGUAUUUCUAUUUAUGCUUUGAUCUUUCAUAUGAACUUGUGGUGAACAUUGUAACAAAUGAUCAUGUAUUCUGAAAGAUUUUUAGGUGCUGAGGACAAAGAGAAGACACACAGAAGGACUGAGACAGAAGGUCUGAACUGGAAGGACAGAGACAGAUGGACAGAGCUGGAGAGGGGAUGACCUGAAAAGCCCGGUUUGAGAUAAGGAGAACAAAGGCCAUUUAGUAAACCCUAGAGGUAAUGAAUGAAUAUCUGAGAGGCAGUUGCUUUCACGACAACACCUGUAACAUCACAGAAGAAGCUAGAGCCCUCCAGGAUACAAGAGAUUUUUCCAGGAGGUCCUAAUGAUGAUGUCACUGAGACCUGCCAUGGCUUACCUGCAAAACAUCUUGAGCAGGACCAUUUUCUUCUUGACAAAAAGAAUAAGGCUAUGAGAUCUCAGCAAAACAACUGUGCCCUGCCCAUCACUUGGCUUUGGAAUAAAAAAAAAUAAUGAUAUAAACUCUUUGACUUCCAGGAAUGAUAUGAACAGGAACUGUAAGAGCAGGAAGUCCAGAUGCUUCUGAGAGGACCCCAGCUCCUAAUUCCCAUUUGUAGACGGCUCAGAUCAAGACAAUCUCUUCAUGAAACAACUCAACACCUACUAAGGACUCAGAGAGCUUUCCCAAGGACCUUUUUUGUACCAAGACAGAAGGAAUAAAGAAAAGGCCUGUUCACUGCACAAUCUCAUGAUAUCACGGAACAAUUCUUCCAACACUACAAAGUGAAAUCUUAUAUUGACUCCUGUACCUGAAGCCACAGUUUCUUUCCUUCUAUUUAGUUGUGCUCAUUGUCACCACCAUUUCAUUAUAACCAGGUUUAACCCAAAGGUAUUCUCUGCCCCAAGAAUUCAUUUCUACUAUAUUGACAUAUUCAGUCAUGUUCAGUUAAAUUUAAGCACUGACCACACCAAAGUGAGGAUUUAUAUAAUAUCCAACAGAAACAUAGGAAGAAAUGCUACAAAAAUAAAUUUAUACUGAAUAAAUAAUCAAAAUGUGUUUUAUUUGUUGUAACACAACAUCUAUCCAUUUUCAUUGUAUUGAUUGGUUCUGGGUAUAUUCACAAGCCAAGAAAAUUGCAUUUAAGCCCGGAAAAAAACUUUUGAGAUUUAGUUCUCUCUUUUAUAUAGACUAUGAAGACUAAACUUAGAUAUCAAUGCUUAAUAGAAAGCAAUUUUACAUGUUGUGUCAUUUCACUGUUUCUCAGAUUUUUUUGUAUAAUUGAAAGUGUAUAGCUAAAUCUUGAUAUUUAGUAUUUUUCCCACUUCAUUUCAAUUUCUACUUUAACUCUGAGUAAUAAGUCCAAAUGGGAUCUGAUUACAUAUAUUGGCCCCGUACGAUUUUUUUAAAAAUUAUAAGGUAAAGUUUUAUAUGCUAGAAAGUACACUUUUGAGAGUACAUUACACUGGAAAUUUAGUUCAUCCUUUUUCAUUAGUUUUGUCUGAAAGACUAUUAUUUACAAAUUUGUUUUAAAUUUUUAGAAGUAUUGUGUGUGUUUGUUUGUUUGUCUGUGAGUAUGCCUGUUUGAGUAUACAUACAUACAUACAUGUAUAUCUUUGACAAUUCAAAUAUAAUAAGACCAGAGAAAGUAGCUUGAGUGUUAUUGAUAAUUUAUGGACACUGAAUUUUUGUAUAUGCUGUAUAUGUAACCUUGAAAAUAUGUACUGUAUAUUUUUUCAAAAGCAUUGUUUAAAUAUGUAUACUACAUGAAGCACACUAAUUGCAGUUUUAGCCUUUUCCACACUAAUUUUAUCUCUUUAGAUGUCUAGAAAGAAAUACACAGAAGCAUGAAUCAUCUCUUAACUCCAAAUGUAGGUAGACUCUAUGAUAUAUUUUGCUUUUUUACAUGAUUGCUCAACUUUAGUUCAUAAAUUAUAUAUUUAAUUUGCUCUAUUUAUGUUACAAAGGUGUGGCACAUUGCUUUUGUAAUGUGUGGCACAUUGUAUAUAUGUAUUCAUUGAUAACUUCCUUCUUUCAACAAACAUUAAGAAUAAAUGAUUUAUAAACAUUAUUACAAAAUCUAAGAUCAUUCAGUUUCUUCCAUAUUCAAAUACCAAAAUGCAUGUAGAAAGAAUUUCCUGAUUUUGACUAUUAACAGAAAUAUUUGAUGUACCAUUCCUAUAAACAAAUUUUGAUAUAUCCAUUAAAAUUUCUUCAAUGAGUAGUUUAUAUAAUAAUGAAGGUAAGUAUAGAUAUAUUGUUAGUAUAUUUGAAUCACAAAUGAUGUCAGUAUUUUACACAGCCAAAUAUGCAUAAACAUGUAAUUUUACACCUGAAUUCCAUAAACGUGCAUUUAUAUAUUUCCACUCAAAAUCAGCUGGGUCCAACUUACACGCAUUCUCACAAUUAUACUCUUACACACACACAUAUGCAUUCAUUCUUGUAAUUACAUAUUUAAUCAGACAUCCUUACUUUCAUAUGCAUAGGGAGCAAGAGACCAAGCACCAGUGCAGAAUGAUGAGGUCCAAUCUUUAUAACAUAAAGAAAAAAAUCACUUCGACCCUUUUAAUGCUAAGUGAAUUAAACCCAAGUGUGUAAGAGAAAAGCCUUGUUCCUUUUGAUAAGAGUAAGCCUGCAUUGCUAUUAAGAAAUGACCUGUUCUGUCCCAUGGUAAGGAGAAACCUGCCUGCACCUUCUGUUCUUUCCAGCUUCUUCUCUUUUCCUCUUCUCCUCUGUAAUUCUGCAGAUUGCCCUCUUAUGUUACUUAUAAUAUCUACAUUAUUCCUCUCUACAUUUCUUCUCAGCCCAGAUAUUUUUGGCUCAGUUCUACUAAGCUCAGUUCUCCUUAACUCAAAGCUGACUUUUCAGCUCUGUCCAUCUCCAGGUCAGUCCACCUGUCUCUGUCCUUCCAGUUCAGUCCUUCUCUCUCAGUCCUUCUGUGUGACUUCUCUUUCUCCUCAGAACUUAAACAUCUUUAAGAAUAUAUGAUCCCAUAUUACAAUGUUCAUCACAAGUUCAUAUGAAAGAUCAAGCAUAAAUUGAAACAUAAUUUACAACCGAGAAUUUUUACAUCAAUAUCCAUCAAGAGUAAUUAUCUGGCGAAACAUUCAUCACCUGUGUCAGCUCCACAGGCUCACUGAAGAUCCAAAACCAUAGUUGUUAGUGAUGUUAUAUAUAGAUAAACCCAGUUAAUAUCUUAUAUUAACUGUCCUUGCACCUGCAACAAAUCGUUUGUUUUCUUUUUAUGACUCUUGAUAACUGUAUUGCAACAUCAUGGAAUGUGUUCUUAGUAGGAGAAAGUCUGUUUACUAUCUCAGAAAAAUUAACUGUUGACACCAGGGACACCGGCAGAAUUGUCACUGCAAUUUUGACUAUUAGAAAGGGACUUAUACGGGUUCGGGGUUUAGCUCAGUGGUAGAGCACUUGCCUAGCGAGCGAAAGGCCCUGGGUUCAGUCCCAGCUCUGAAAAAAAGAAAAAGAAAAAAAAUAUAGAGACUUAUAGCAGUCCCACUAUAAUAGAGAUUAAUAACCAUUGAUAUAAUUUUAGGAAUUAUUGUAGAAUCAUUAUUAAGACUAAAGAAUUCAUCUAUUUGCCUGUAUAGUAUCACUACGGGACAGUAAAACUUCGUAUGACUGCAGAGAUCUGCUCCAAAGGGGUGUGCUAUUACUCAAUGAUUGUUAUAUAUGUCUAAUAAUAACAAAAGGAAUAGCAUUUAAUAGCGUAAACUUUCCCAAAAUGAAUCCCUUACAACUUUGCUUAAUAAGGGAGAACCAGUUGUAGAUUAUAAAAUAAUCCGAAGCUGUGUAUCUCAGGAUGAUCACCUGCUAGUUAUUAGCCUGUCCUGUUAUGGAUCCUGACACUUUCUUCUCAGUCUUACAUGGUACCUUCUCAAAAACUGACAAUCUGAUCCAUCAUAAAACAGGCCUCAAGAGAUACAAGAUGUUUGAAUUAAUCCCAUGCAUCCUAUGAGAUCACUACAGACUAAGAAUGGUAUUCAAUAACAACAAAAACAACCAUAGUUCCACAUAUACAUGGUAGCUGAAGAAUGAUUUACUCGAUGAGAACUUGUUCAAGGAAGAAAUAAAGAAAAAAAAUUAAAGACAUUUCAGAUUUUAAUGAAAAUGAAGGCAUAACUUGGGAACACAAAAAAGCAAUGCAAGAGGAAAACUCAUAGCUCUGAGAGCCUCCACAAACAAACAGAAGCUAUGAUACACUAGCAGUUUGAUAGAACACCUGAAAUCUCAGAACCAAUAAAAAUCCAAAGACUAGACAGCAGAAAAUAAUCAAACUCAGGACUGAAAUCAACCAAGUAGAAAUGAAAGGAAUUAUAUAAAGAAUCAACAAAACCAGGAGCUGGCUCUUCGAAAAAUCCAGAAAUAGGUAAAUCCCUUAUAUUCAAAUUAAAAAUAACAAAAUCAGAAAUGAAAUAGAGAUAUAACCAAAGAAAGUGAGGAAACUCAAAAAAUUAUCAGAUCCUUCUAUAAAAGCCUAUACUUAACAAGUGGGAAUGUAAGGAUUCAAUGGAUAAAUUUCUAGAGAGAUAUAAGGUACCAAAGUUGAAUCAGAAUCAGAUAAACCACCUAAAUUCACCCAUAACUUGUAAAGUAGUAGAAGCAGUCAUUAAAUGUCUCCCAACCAAAAGAUCCCAAGACCAGAAAGGAUUAGUACAGAAUUCUCAGACCUUCAUAGAAUACCUAAUACCAAUAUUCUCCAAACUAUUCCACAAACUUGAAAUAGAAGGAACACUACGCAAUUCCUUCUCUGAUGCCACAAUUAUGCUUACAACUAAAGCAAACAAAGACCGAAAAAAGAAAGAGAAUUUCAGACCAAUUUAUUCAUGAAUAUCCCUGCAAAAAUUCUCAGUAAAUUUCUUGCUAGUCAAAUCCAAGAACACAUGAAAACAAUGAUCCAUCAUGAUCAAGUAGGCUUCAUCCCAGAGAUACAGGGAUGGUUCAAUAUACAGAACCUGAUCACUAAUCAAACUAAUCCCACUAUAAAAACAAAUUCAAAGAAAACAAAACAAGCAAUCAUUUCAUUAGAUGCUGAGAAAGCAUUUUACAGAACGUAGCCCUUCAUGUUACAAGUCUUCGAAAGAUCAGAAAUUCAAGGACCAUACUGAACUCAAUAAAAGCAAUAUACAGCAAACCAGAGGCCAAUAUCAAACUAAAUGGAGAAAAACUUAAUGCAAUCCCACUACAAUCAGGAACUAGACAAUGAUAACCACUCUCUCCCUACCUUUUCAAUAUAGUAUUCAAAGCCCUAGCCAGAGUAAACAGAAAACAAAUGGAUGUAAAGGGAUACAUAUUGCAAAGGAAAUUUUCAAAAUGUCACUAUAUGCAGAUGUUGUGACCCGACAAUUUCCACCAGUGAAUUUCUAAGCAGAUAAACAGCUAUAGCAGAGUGGAAGAGUUUAAAAUUGAUUCAAACAAAUCAGUAUCCUGCCUCUGCUCAAAAGAGAAAUAGGCUGAGAAAGAAAUUACAGAAAUGACACCCUUGACAAUAGUGAAAAAGCUUAUAAAAUACCUCUGUGUGACUCUAACCAAGCAAAUGAAAGAUAUACAUGACAAGAACACAACUGUCUGAAAAAAAAUAAAUUGAAGAAGAUCUCAGAAAUUAGAAAGAUCUCCCAUGUUCAUGUAUUGGCAGGUUUAAUAUUGUAAAAAUGGCCAUCUUGCCAAAAGAAACCUACAGAUUCAAUGCAAUCUCCAUCAACAUUACAACUGAUUUCUUCACAGACAUAAAAAUGGCAGUUUGCAAAUUUAUAUGGAAUAAAAAAAAUCCCAGGAUAGAGAAAACUAUUCUUAAAAAUAAAAUCAUUUGGGGAAAUCGCUAUCCCUGAGCUCAAGUUGUAUUACAGAGCAAUGGUGAGGAAAAACUGUAUUGUAUUGGUAUUGAGACAGUCAGGUAUAACAAUGGAAUAGAAUGUAAGACCCAAAAAUGAACCCACACAGCUAUGGCCACUUGAUAAUUAACAAAGGAUCUAAAACCAUACAGUGGAAAAAAAAGAUAGCAUUUUUUAAAAAUUGUGCUGUUUCAACUGAAGGGCAGAAGGUAGAAGAAUGCAAAUCAAUCCAUUCUUAUCUCCUUGUACAAAGCUCAAGUAAAACUGGAUUAAAGAACUCCAAAUAAAACCAGAUACACUGAAACUAAUUGAUAAAAAGCAGGGGAAAGCCUCAAACAGAUUGGUACUGGGGAAAAUUUCCUCAAUAGAACACCAAAGGCUUUUGUUCUAAGAUCAAAAAUUGAAAAAUGAAACUUCAUAAAAUUUCAAAGUUUCUCUAAGACAAAGAACACUGUUAUUACUUCCAUACAGCAACUAACAGAUUGGGAAAAGAUCUUUACCAAUCCUAUAUCCGAUGGAGUGCUAAUAUCCAAUAUAUACAAAAAAACUCAAUAAGCUAUCCUCCAGAGAAUCAAAUAACCCUAUUUAAUACUGGGCUACAGUUCUAAACAAAAAUUCUCAACUGAUGAAUAUUGAAUGGAUGAGAAGCACCUAAAAAUGUUCAACAUCCUUACUCAUUGGGGAAAUGCAAAUCAAAACAAUCCUGAAAUUCUACCUCAUACCAGUCAGAAUGGCUAAGUUAAAAAAGUCAGGUGACAACAGUCUCUGUCAAGGAUGUGGAGAGAAAGGAACACUCUUUCACUGUGGAAAUUACAAGCUCUUAAAAUCACCCUGGAAUCCAGGCUGGAGCUUCUUCAGAAAAUUGAACAUAGUAUUUACUACCUGAGGAUCCAGCUGUACCAUUGGAUGGCAUAUACCCAAAACUUGCUCCAACCUACAACAAGGACACAUGCUCCACUAUGUUCAGAGCAGCCUUAUUUAUAACAGACAGAAGCUGGAAAGAACCCAGAUGUCCCUCAAAAGAGGAACAGAUUGAUAUAAUGUGGUACAUUUACACAAUGGUGUGGUAUGCAGCUAUUAAAAAGAAUGACUUCAUGAAAUUCAUAGGGAAAUGGAUGAAACUAGAAAAUAUAAUCCUGAGUGACAUAACAAAAACACAAAUAAAUGCACAUAGCAUGCCCUCACUAGUAAGUGAAUAUUAGCCCAAGAGCUCAUAAUAUCCACCAUAAACUCAUAUGCACUCUGAAGCUUAACAAGAAAGGACAAAGGGGGAUUGCUUCAUUAACAAUUAGAAGGGGGAAGAAAAUUUUCAUGGGAGUCAGAUGGAGGAAUCACCCUGUGUGAGAGAGGGGAGUGAAAUAGAAAAAUAGGAGAUCAGGAUAAGAUGUUGGAAGAAACAGGGAAAAAAACAGAGGACCAGGAAAAUUAGUAUAGAGAGAAGGAACAGUUGAGGAUGGGGGUAACCUCUAGGAUAAACCAGAUACUAGGAAUGCGACAGGUUCCCUGGACCCAAUACUGAUGACAUUGGCCAACAUCAACAAUAACACUGAAAUUAACCUGAAGACACCACCUCCAGUAGAUAGACAUGGCCCCCAGUGUAAGGAUGGGACCACUCACCCAUCUCAAAUAUAUUCAGAGUUAUCCUGUCUAAUGGAAUUGCAGAGGGGAAAGUGGGGCAGAGGCUGAAAGAAAGGCCAUCCAGAGAUCUGCAGACACCAACCUGGACACUGUUGCUGCUGCUGAUAUGUGCUUGCAAACAGGAGUCUGAUAUGCCUGUCCUCUGAGAGGCUUUGCCAACACCUGACUGAGACAGAUGCAGAUAUUCACAGCUAACCAUUGAACUGAACCUAGAGAUCCCAAUGGAAGAUGUAGGGGAAGGGGCUGAAGGGGAUUGUUAUUAGAGAUAGAACAACGAUAUCAAUUAACCAGACCCCUCAGGGAACCCAUGGACCUAACCACCAACCAUUGAAUAUACAUGUUCUGGUACCCUACAUAUGUAGCAGAGAAUUGCCUCAUCUCACAUCAGUGGAAGGGGAAGCAGUUGGUCCUUAGUAGCUUGAUGUCCCAGAGAAGAGCGAAUCUAGAGGGGUGAGGUAAGAACGACUGGGGGUGUUGGGGACGCACGCUCUUAGAGACAAAGACGAAGAGUAUGUGGUGGUGGGGAUUAUAGAGGCGGAUCGGAAAGGGGGCAAUAUUUGAAAUGCAAAGAAAUACAAUUGUUAAUAAUAGUAAUAAUAAAGGCAACUGCAUACGAUAUCAAGACAUAUUUAGAAUUUCAAUAUAUGUGAUUAGAGAAAAUACUUUCCAUUGUGUAGCAUACUCAAUAUUUCAAAAAUAUCAUCACGGAAAGAAUAUUAAGAGCUUUGGGACAAGAAAAAAUAGUGAUACAUCAAGGCAGAAGCAUCACAGUAAUAUCUGGAACUCAAAUGGAAUUCUAAUAUCAAUCCCAUGCAUUCAAUGCUCUAUACAAUUCCUAUCACAUGUUCAUUCCCUAAAAAAAUCCACCAGUGAUUUUCUAGUCCCUGCAGUCUCUGAGGAUCAAGGGUCUGGAUCAACCUUUCCCAUUCGGUUAUGAGUCUCCAAGACACAUCACUGCACCACAGAUGGCCUCUGGUUAGAGGGAUCUACCGUGUUGUAAGUGUCGCUUGACCGCACAGUGUCCUAAGCACCCCUUGCCCUUUCCAUUCAUGUUGCUCCUUCCCGAAUCCCUUGUCUUGGCCCCUGACAGUGGGCACAAUAGCAGAUAGCACUCUGGACACAAAGGAAGAGAUUCGACAGGGUUCCUCCUCAUUCAGAAAGCUUGGAUGAUCGCCCCGCUACUACAAGCAGAAAUGACAAGUGAAGCAGCUCCUGACUGCCUGGUGCAGACCUCGCGACUGCCCCUUGCAGACCUCGCUACUGCCCCAUGCAGACCUCGCUACUUCCCUGUGCAAACUCGAGGACAGCUCCUCUAGAGCUUUGGCUGUUUCAGGAGAUCAAUGGUCACUCGAGAUUUCCCUGCUUUGCCUUCCGGACUUGUCCACAGUUCUCGGAAGAUAGAGAGACAUACUCAAAGGAUACAGCUCAACUGAUGCUUACCAUGACUCACCACUGGCAAGUACAUUCACUUCCCCUUCACAUGGUAGUAGCCCAUUCGACAUUUCUUGUUCAAUUUCCUUAAAGACUAAACGACCAGAUGUGAGGAGAGAGACCAGCGACCCUCAUCCCGGACUUCACCCUCUGACCAUGCACCAACGAUUUCUCAGCCUCCACGGCCUGGGAACCCUUCAGUGUCCCCCAAGAUGACUACAACACCUGAGUGCAACAGAGGAAUCAGUUAAAGGAUUCCCAGCCUCCACAGCCUGGAAGCCCAUUCAGUGUCCCCCAAGAUGAUUAUAACACCGGACUCCAAUGGGGGAAGCAUUUUAAGGGUUCCCAGCCUCCACAGUCUGGAAGACCUUCAGUGUCCCCCAAGUGGAUUAUAACUUCCUACCCCAGUGGGGGAAGCAAUUGAACACCAGAGACCCGAGCGACUUUGCACCUCCCAGACUACUUAGAAGGGCUCGGGACAAGUUCAGAUGCCCAAAACCCUAUGAAGAUCAGAGAUUCAAAAAACCUGAUGCUCGUGUUACAAAAAACCUGCAGAAACUCAAAGAUCAUAUAAAGGCUUCAGUCAAUAAG